rnacentral:rRNA from 1 species
AAUCAACGCUGGCGGCGUGCCUCAGACAUGCAAGUCGAACGAUUAAAGCUCUCUUCGGAGAGUGUAUAGAGUGGCGCACGGGUGAGUAACACGUAAGUAAUCUACCUUUGAGUGGGGAAUAACAGUCGGAACGACUGCUAAUACCGCAUAAUGCAGCGGCACCGCGAGGUGACAGUUGUUAAAGGAGCAAUUCGCUUAAAGAGGAGCUUGCGGCAGAUUAGCUUGUUGGUAAGGUAACGGCUUACCAAGGCUACGAUCUGUAUCCGGUCUUAGAGGACGGUCGGACACACUGACACUGAAUAACGGGUCAGACUCCUACGGGAGGCAGCAGUCGGGAAUUUUGGGCAAUGGGCGAAAGACCUGACCCACGCAACGCCGCGUGAAGGAUGAAGUAUUUCGGUA